CUUGCUCCCUGGUGGCGAGCGGCGGACGGGUGAGUAAUGCAUAGGAAUCUGCCCGGUAGUGGGGGAUAACCUGGGGAAACCCAGGCUAAUACCGCAUACGUCCUACGGGAGAAAGCAGGGGACCUUCGGGCCUUGCGCUAUCGGAUGAGCCUAUGUCGGAUUAGCUGGUUGGUGAGGUAAUGGCUCACCAAGGCGACGAUCCGUAGCUGGUCUGAGAGGAUGAUCAGCCACAUCGGGACUGAGACACGGCCCGAACUCCUACGGGAGGCAGCAGUGGGGAAUAUUGGACAAUGGGCGCAAGCCUGAUCCAGCCAUGCCGCGUGUGUGAAGAAGGCCCUCGGGUUGUAAAGCACUUUCAGUGGGGAAGAAAGCCUUCCGGUUAAUACCCGGGAGGAGGGACAUCACCCACAGAAGAAGCACCGGCUAACUCCGUGCCAGCAGCCGCGGUAAUACGGAGGGUGCGAGCGUUAAUCGGAAUUACUGGGCGUAAAGCGCGCGUAGGCGGCUUGAUAAGCCGGUUGUGAAAGCCCCGGGCUCAACCUGGGAACGGCAUCCGGAACUGUCAGGCUAGAGUGCAAGAGAGGAAGGUAGAAUUCCCGGUGUAGCGGUGAAAUGCGUAGAGAUCGGGAGGAAUACCAGUGGCGAAGGCGGCCUUCUGGUACUGACACUGACGCUGAGGUGCGAAAGCGUGGGUAGCAAACAGGAUUAGAUACCCUGGUAGUCCACGCCGUAAACGAUGUCGACUAGCCGUUGGGUCCUUCGCGGACUUUGUGGCGCAGUUAACGCGAUAAGUCGACCGCCUGGGGAGUACGGCCGCAAGGUUAAAACUCAAAUGAAUUGACGGGGGCCCGCACAAGCGGUGGAGCAUGUGGUUUAAUUCGAUGCAACGCGAAGAACCUUACCUACCCUUGACAUCCUGCGAACCCUUCGGAGACGAAGGGGUGCCUUCGGGAACGCAGAGACAGGUGCUGCAUGGCUGUCGUCAGCUCGUGUUGUGAAAUGUUGGGUUAAGUCCCGUAACGAGCGCAACCCUUGUCCCUAUUUGCCAGCGAUUCGGUCGGGAACUCUAGGGAGACUGCCGGUGACAAACCGGAGGAAGGUGGGGACGACGUCAAGUCAUCAUGGCCCUUACGGGUAGGGCUACACACGUGCUACAAUGGUCAGUACAAAGGGUUGCGAACUUGCGAGAGUGAGCCAAUCCCAGAAAGCUGAUCUCAGUCCGGAUCGGAGUCUGCAACUCGACUCCGUGAAGUCGGAAUCGCUAGUAAUCGUGAAUCAGAAUGUCACGGUGAAUACGUUCCCGGGCCUUGUACACACCGCCCGUCACACCAUGGGAGUGGACUGCACCAGAAGUGGUUAGCCUAACCUUCGGGAGGGCG
rnacentral:rRNA from 1 species